UGAGGAAUAUUGGUCAAUGGACGGAAGUCUGAACCAGCCAUGCCGCGUGCAGGAUGACGGCUCUAUGAGUUGUAAACUGCUUUUGUAUGAGGGUAAAACUGGGUACGUGUACCCACUUGAGAGUAUCAUACGAAUAAGGAUCGGCUAACUCCGUGCCAGCAGCCGCGGUAAUACGGAGGAUUCGAGCGUUAUCCGGAUUUAUUGGGUUUAAAGGGUGCGUAGGCGGUAAUUUAAGUUAGUCGUUAAAUCGGAAGGCUCAACCUUCUCAUGGCGAUUAAUACUGGGUUACUAGAGAUUAGAUGCAGAGGGCGGAAUGUGUAGUGUAGCGGUGAAAUGCUUAGAUAUUACACAGAACACCGAUUGCGAAGGCAGCUCUCUAAUCUACAUCUGACGCUCAGGCACGAAAGCGUGGGGAUCAAACA
rnacentral:rRNA from 1 species